rnacentral:lncRNA from 1 species
CUCCUUUUGCUGCUGUUGCAUCUCCAGGCCUGCAGCCAGGCCUGCCCCGCAGUGGGUGUCAACACGCUCUGUGGAACGAGGGACGGAAUGAGGGACGUGAGUGAUCUGUGUGGAUGGAGGAGUGACUUGCAAUGGAAGCCUGCCAGCCAAGACAGCUGGGCCCCUGGCAGGGAAUCCAGGCCUCCUGCCAGCUACAGCACCAGCUGGGCAGCACCGUGCAUGAGCCGUCUUGGAAGUGGAUCUUCCAGUCCCAGUCGUGCUGGCGCCUUUGGCUGACUGGGCCUUAGCCAACCUCUGCGGGAUCCUGAAGCCGAACCACUGAGGAAGCCAACCAAUUGCAGAGGAAUAUUCUUCAGCUUCUACAAAGAAUCCGGCCUCUUAUUUUUCUUGAAACUUACAGCUGUCUUGGUGUGUCUUAUUUUUUUC